rnacentral:rRNA from 1 species
AUUGAACGCUGGCGGCAGGCCUAACACAUGCAAGUCGCACGAGUGGCGGACGGGUGAGUAAUGUCUGGGAAACUGCCUGAUGGAGGGGGAUAACUACUGUAAACGUUAACUAAUACCACAUACCCUCAGAUGUGCCCAGAUGGGCUUAGCGAGUUGGUGGGGUAACGGCUCACCAAGGCGACGAUCCCUAGCUGGUCUGAGAGGAUGACCAGCAACACUGGAACUGAGACACGGGCCAGACUCCUACGGGAGGCAGCAGUGGGGAAUAUUGCACAAUGGGCGCAAGCCUGAUGCAGCCAUGCAGCGGGUAUGAAGAAGGCCUUCGGGUUGUAAAGUACUUUCAGCGGGGAGGCGUUACCCGCAGAAGAAGCACCGGCGAACUCCGUGCCAGCAGCCGCGGUAAUG